CUCCUGGGCUCAAGGGAUUCUCCUGCCUCAACCUCCCACGUAGCUGGGAUUAUAGGUGUGUGCCACCACACCCGGCUAAUUUUUGUAUUUUUUUAGUAGAGACAGGGUUUUGCCACAUUGGCCAAGCUGGUCUCGAACUCCUGGCCUCAAGUGAACUGCCCACCUCAGCCUCCCUAAGUGCUGGGAUUACACACCUGAGCUACCACACCCUGCCAGAACCCUGAUUUUUUUUUUUUUUUUUUUUUUUUUUUUUGAGACAGAGUCUCGCACUGUCACCCAGCCUGGAGUGCAGUGGCGCGAUCUCGGCUCACUGCAAGCUCCGCCUCCCGGGUUCACGCCAUUCUCCUGCCUCAGCCUCCCGAGUAGCUGGGACUACAGGCGGCCACCACCACACCUGGCUAAUUUUUUGUAUUUUUAGUAGAGACGGGGUUUCACCGUGUUAGCCAGGAUGGUCUUGAUCUCCUGACCUCAUGAUCCGCCCACCUUGGCCUCCCAAAGUGCUGGGAUUACAGGCAUGAGCCACCAUGCCUGGCCCAGAACUCUGAUUUUUAAAGUGCUCCUUCUAAGAAGACUCAGAGCUACAGAGAUGUCAGAAACAAUCAUAGAAUGACUCUACAUCCUCCCACAAUGAUACUAGACAGACACACUGGCACACCUCGAAAUUUCUGGGUUGUGCACAGCCCAAGAGGGCUCAUUUAAGCUGCCAUGUCCACUCCUCCAACAAAUCCAGGCACCAUCUAAAGGGAACAUGCCAAGUCACAGUCUCCUUUGUGAAUUCCAUAAUGGCAAGAGAGCUCUCAUUCAUAUUUGCGUUCCUGGCACCCAGAGCACAUUUAAUAAAAGUUGAUUAAACAAAAAUAAUGACUUGGUCCUGAACUGCAUUCUACAACUGCUCCUUGAGUUUUGUCCCAUCCUAUAAUAACCAUCACAAGCUCUGCUAUUUAUUCUACCAUUUCUGUCCUGGCCCCACCUUUGAGAUUGUUCUCACAGUUAUCUUUGCCACUAGGUUGCAAUUCUGACUGUGCUGGUGAUGCUGGUUCCAGGUCCCUCAGGAACCCCUCCCCCAGUCUGGUCUGCCCUUGAACUCUAUACUGGCCCCAGGGUAUCCCAGGAUUGUCAGAAAGGCCUGGCCAGGAUUCACCUGGGAGAGGGAUCAGCAUCUCUGCAAAGUUGUUGGAUUGAAAGAACUUUCAUUUUGAGCUACAUCAUUGAAGAGCUUUAAAUCUGAAAAUAAGAAAGACGUUGAACCCUAUUACUCACAUCUCUUUGUCAUUUGAAGCAGAUCCCGAACCACUCAAAAGGACAAAACAAGGAAAUAGCAAUGAAAUUGGAUUCAGUGAAUGGGCCACUGACUGCACUCCUGACCCUGCCAACCAUCUUGCAAAUACAUCCUCUUGCUUAGAAGAACCAGGGGAGGGGUGGGGCAUGGUGGUUCAUGCCUGCAAUCCCAGCACUUUGGGAGGCUGAAGCGGGCAGAUCACUUUGAGCUCAGGAGUUCAAGACCAGCCUGGGCAAAAUGGCGAAACCGUCCCUUAAAAAAAAAAACAAAAUCGCAUCACUAUACUCCAGCC
rnacentral:lncRNA from 1 species